rnacentral:rRNA from 1 species
CCUGGCUCAGAGUGAACGCUGGCGGCAGGCCUUACACAUGCAAGUCGAGCGGCAGCGCGGGGGCAACCCUGGCGGCGAGCGGCGGACGGGAGAGGAAUGCAUCGGAAUCUACCUCGUUGUGGAGGAUAACGUAGGGAAACUUACGCUAAUACCGCAUACGACCUACGGGUGAAAGUGGGGGACCGCAAGGCCUCACGCGAUGAGAUGGGCCGAUGCCGGAUUAGCUAGUUGGCGGGGUAAAGGCCCACCAAGGCGACGAUCCGUAGCUGAUCUGAGAGGAUGAUCAGCCACACUGGAACUGGGACACGGUCCAGACUCCUACGGGAGGCAGCAGUGGGGAAUAUUGGACAAUGGGCGCAAGCCUGAUCUAGCCAUGCCGCGUGUGUGAAGAAGGCCUUCGGGUUGUAAAGCACUCUUGUUGGGGAAGAAACCGACCGGACUAAUACUCCCGUUGAAUGACGGUACCCAAAGAAUAAGCACCGGCUAACUUCGUGCCGGCAGCCGCGGUAAUACGAAGGGUGCAAGCGUUACUCGGAAUUACUGGGCGUAAAGCGUGCGUAGGCGGAUUGUUAAGUCUGCUGUGAAAGCCCUGGGCUCAACCUGGGAACUGCAGUGGAUACUGGCAAGCUAGGGUGUGUCAGAGGAUGGUGGAAUUCCCGGUGUAGCGGUGAAAUACGUAGAGAUCGGGAGGAGCACCAGUGGCGAAGGCGGCCAUCUGGGACAACACUGACGCUGAGGCACGUAAGCGUGGGGAGCAAACAGGAUUAGAUACCCUGGU